AUUGAACGCUGGCGGCAGGCCUAACACAUGCAAGUCGAGCGAGCGCCGGACGGGUGCGUAAUGUAUGGGGACUGCCCGAUAGAGGGGGAUAACUACUGGAAACGGUACCUCAUACCGCAUACUACCGCAUAACCCAUAUGUGUUUCGCUAGUAGGUGAGGUAAUGGCUCACCUAGGCGACGAUCCCUAGCUGGUCUGAGAGGAUGAUCAGCCACACGGGAGCUGAGACACGGCCCAGACUCCUACGGAGGCAGCAGUGGGGAAUAUUGCACAAUGGGCGCAAGCCUGAUGCAGCCAUGCCGCGUGUAUGAAGAAGGCCCUAGGGUUGUAAAGUACUUUCAGUCGGGAGGCGUUACCGACAGAAGAAGCACCGGCUAACUCCGUGCCAGCAGCCGCGGUAAUAC
rnacentral:rRNA from 1 species